AUUUCCCCAAUGGGUUCUCCGGAUUUCUGGAGACUUGUAGGGGUUGUGGGCUUUUUUCGAGAUGUCGUCUCCGGACGGGCGGUGCAGGGUAGCCGGGUUGGACUUGGUGGAAUUCGAUUCCUUCGAGUCUGGCACGACUGUGUGCGGCUGUGUGCUGGACGGUGCAGGGUAGGCCGCUCGGUCUUGGUCGAUUCGAGGAUCGAUUCGAGGGCCGGCCAUGAGUUGUGUGUGAGGGAUGCGGUCUAGGGUAGGCUGGUUUGUCUUGGUCGAAUCUGGUGUCGGCUCCCGUGUAGAACGGAGCGAGGGUGGUGCAGGGUAGGUACAGGGUAGGCAGCUUAGACUUGGUCGAUCUGGAUGUCGGUUCUCUGACUGACGGGUCUGAGGUCGUCGAAACGAGAUGCGGGGAGUGCAGGGUAGGCAACUUCCGUCUCCGCCAGGAAGCGAUUUGUAUUGAGAUGUGAGGUCUAGGUUAGGUACAGGGUAGGUGGAAUCGCAGUUUCGUCGCUGAAAGCUUGCGGCGGGCGUAGGGUAGGUACAGGGUAGGCAGGUUUCUCCCCAGGCCAGUACUUGCCCGUGCGUGCGAAAUGGUUUUGCGGUCCGGUGGCCGUGAGUCGAUUUUUUGUUUU
rnacentral:misc_RNA from 1 species